rnacentral:rRNA from 1 species
GGAGCGAAACUCAAAAAAUAAGUCUCAGUUCGGAUUGAAGGCUGAAAUUCGCCUUCAUGAAGCCGGAAUUGCUAGUAAUGGCAGGUCAGCAUACUGCCGUGAAUACGUUCCCGGGCCUUGUACACACCGCCCGUCACACCAUAAGAGUUGGGAAUACCCGAAGCCUGUGAGCUAACAUUUAUGAGGCAGCAGUCGAAGGUAGAAUCAAUGAUUGGGGUGAAGUCGUAACAAGGUAGC